CGUGCUUAACACAUGCAAGUUGAACGAGAAUUUUCAGUCGAUUUCUUCGGAAUGAAACGGAAAAAGGAAAGUAGCGAACGGGUGAGUAACACGUGAGAAACCUGCCUUUCGCAAAGGGAUAGCCUCGGGAAACCGGGAUUAAUACCUUAUGAUACAUUAAUAUCGCAUGAUGUAAAUGUUAAAGAAUUUCGGUGAAAGAUGGUCUCGCGUCUGAUUAGCUAGUUGGUAAGGUAGUGGCUUACCAAGGCGACGAUCAGUAGCCGGAUUGAGAGGUUGAACGGCCACACUGGAACUGAGACACGGUCCAGACUCCUACGGGAGGCAGCAGUGGGGAAUUUUGCACAAUGGGGGAAACCCUGAUGCAGCGACGCCGCGUGAACGAUGAAGGUCUUCGGAUUGUAAAGUUCUGUCCUUAGCGAAGAUAAUGACAGUAGCUAAGAAGCAAGCCCUGGCUAAAUACGUGCCAGCAGCCGCGGUAAUACGUAUGGGGCAAGCGUUGUCCGGAAUUAUUGGGCGUAAAGGGUAUGUAGGCGGUUAAUUAAGUCUGAAUUCAAAGGCUGUGGCUCAACCACAGUUCGGUUUAGAAACUGGUUAACUUGAGUAGAUGAGGGGAAAGUGGAAUUCCAUGUGUAGCGGUGAAAUGCGUAGAUAUAUGGAGGAACACCAGUGGCGAAGGCGACUUUCUGGAAUCUAACUGACG
rnacentral:rRNA from 1 species